GCCAGCGUAGCUUAAUAUAAAGCGCAGCACUGAAGAUGCUGAAAUGGGCCUUUAAAAGCCCCGCAUGCA
rnacentral:tRNA from 1 species